GACGAACGCUGGCGGCGUGCUUAACACAUGCAAGUCGAACGAUGAAGAAGAGAAACGCGAACUUCGGUUCAAAUUUCACUUCGGAUUAGUGGCAGACGGGUGAGUAACGCGUGAGCAACCUACCUCUUACAAAGGGAUAGCCUCGGGAAACCGUGAUUAAUACCAUAUGACACAUUCAUAAGGCAUCUUAAGAAUGUUAAAGCUACGGCGGUAAGAGAUGGGCUCGCGUCCCAUUAGCUAGUUGGUGAGGUAACGGCCCACCAAGGCGACGAUGGGUAACCGGCCUGAGAGGGUGAACGGUCACAUUGGAACUGAGACACGGUCCAAACUCCUACGGGAGGAAGCAGUGGGGAAUAUUGCACAAUGGAGGGAACUCUGAUGCAGCGACGCCGCGUGAGCGAUGAAGGAAUUCGUUUCGUAAAGCUCUGUUCUAUGGGAAGAAAAGGACUGUACCAUAGGAGAAAGCCCCGGCUAAAUACGUG
rnacentral:rRNA from 1 species